rnacentral:rRNA from 1 species
GACGGAGGGUGCAAGCGGUGUUCGGAAUUACUGGGCGUAAAGCGCGUGUAGGCGGCUUGCUAAGUCUGAUGUGAAAGCCCGGGGCUCACCCCCGGACGUGCAUUGGAAACUGGCGAGCUCGAGUCCCGGAGAGGAGGGUGGAAUUCCUGGUGUAGCGGUGAAAUGCGUAGAUAUCAGGAGGAACACCGGUGGCGAAGGCGGCCCUCUGGACGGUGUCUGACGCUGAGACGCGAAAGCGUGGGGAGCAAACAGG